rnacentral:rRNA from 1 species
CUGGAAACGGUGGCUAAUACCGCAUAACGUCGCAAGACCAAAGAGGGGGACCUUCGGGCCUCUUGCCAUCAGAUGUGCCCAGAUGGGAUUAGCUUGUUGGUGAGGUAACGGCUCACCAAGGCGACGAUCCCUAGCUGGUCUGAGAGGAUGACCAGCCACACUGGAACUGAGACACGGUCCAGACUCCUACGGGAGGCAGCAGUGGGGAAUAUUGCACAAUGGGCGCAAGCCUGAUGCAGCCAUGCCGCGUGUAUGAAGAAGGCCUUCGGGUUGUAAAGUACUUUCAGCGGGGAGGAAGGUGUUGUGGUUAAUAACCGCAGCAAUUGACGUUACCCGCAGAAGAAGCACCGGCUAACUCCGUGCCAGCAGCCGCGGUAAUACGGAGGGUGCAAGCGUUAAUCGGAAUUACUGGGCGUAAAGCGCACGCAGGCGGUCUGUCAAGUCGGAUGUGAAAUCCCCGGGCUCAACCUGGGAACUGCAUUCGAAACUGGCAGGCUUGAGUCUUGUAGAGGG